rnacentral:tRNA from 1 species
GAGGGUAUAGCUCAGUGGUAGAGUGCAUGCUUAGCAUGCACGAGGUCCUGGGUUCAAUCCCCAGUACCGCUA